GACGAACGCUGGCGGCGUGCUUAACACAUGCAAGUCGAACGAAGUGGCGAACGGGUGAGUAACGCGUAAUCAACCUGCCCUUCAGAGGGGGACAACAGUUGGAAACGACUGCUAAUACCGCAUACUGAAGGAGGGGAUUGCGUCUGAUUGGCUGGUUGGAGGGGUAACGGCCCACCAAGGCGAUGGUCCGGAGCCUGUUUGGGAGGAUGAACGGCCACAUUGGGACUGGGGCACGGCCCAGACUCCCACCGGAGGCAGCCGUGGUGAAUCUUCCGCAAUGGAGGAAAGUCUGACUGCGCACCUCCGCGUGAGUGAUGACGGCCUUCGGGUUGUAAAGCUCUGUUAAUCGGGACGCGGUACCGGCAUAGAAAGCCACGGCUAACUACGUGCCAGCCGCCGCGGUAAUUC
rnacentral:rRNA from 1 species